rnacentral:misc_RNA from 1 species
AGCAGCCGCGGUAAUUCCAGCUCCAAUAGCGUAUAUUAAAGUUGCUGCAGUUAAAAAGCUCGUAGUUGAAUUUCGGGAUCAAUAUGUUGGUCGUGCCUCGGUACGUACUAGCUUAUUGGUUUCUCCCUUCUGACGAACCAUGAUGUCAUUUAUUUGGUGUUAUGGGAAAUCAGGACUGUUACUUUGAAAAAAUUAGAGUGUUUAAAGCAGGCUCACGCUUGAAUACAUUAGCAUGGAAUAAUGAAAUAGGACGUUUGAUUCUAUUUUGUUGGUUUCUAGGAUCGACGUAAUGAUUAAUAGGGAUAGUUGGGGGCAUUAGUAUUCAAUUGUCAGAGGUGAAAUUCUUGGAUUUAUUGAAGACUAACUACUGCGAAAGCAUUUUGCCAAGGAUGUUUUCAUUAAUCAAGAACGAAAGUUAGGGGAUCGAAGACGAUCAGAUACCGUCGUAGUCUUAACCAUAAACUAUGCCGACUAGGGAUCGGAUGAUGUUAAUUUUUUAAUGACUCAUUCGGCGCCUUAC